rnacentral:lncRNA from 1 species
AGCUGCGCUAAGCUGAGGCAUUUGGGGACUCGUUAGCACUCCUGCACUGCUGAACCAUUGGUGGUCGGAGGUGCUGCCAAGCCCGAGGCCCAGUAGUGUCUGCUCUCUGCUCAGAAUAGAAGGAGGAUGCGCUGACUCUGUGGAAUCAGAUAAAUUUGAGUUAAAAUCUCAGCUCUCCACAUAGAAUCUGUGUGACCUUUGUGAUACUGGACCAGUUCUAGACUUAAGCUUAAGAAGUCUUGGCAAUUUUUUGCUUUUGCACUUUUGAAGAGUCCUGAACUGCCAUAUAAGAAGUCUGGCUACUCUGCUGGAGAGAUCACCUGGAGAAGUGACUUAGGCCAUGCAGAAAUGGAGAGACCCUGAGAUUACAUGGAGGAAGAGGCCCCGUCACCCUAGCAGCUUGUCUGAGCCCCGCCUGCCAACCGUCCUCACUAAGGCACCAGGCAUGUGAACGUGCCAUCUUGGAUGUUCCAGCCUAGUGGAACCCCCAAAUGACUGAAGCCCCAUCUGACAUCACAUUGGAGCAGAACUGCCCAGCUGAGGCCAAUCACUCCACAGUAUCAUGACAGAUAACACAAUGAAGUCACUGAAUUUUGGAGUGGUUUAUUACGCAGCCAUAAAUAACUGAAAGGAAUAUUUUUGUUUUGUUUUCCCUAAAUCUCCUAAUCCCACAGGUGUUUGUGGGCUUUGCUGUUCUUAGAGCUCUUCAGGGAAGAAACUGACACAGUUUUUCAUUUUUAAAACUUUUUAUUUGGAAUUAAUUUUAAAUUUACAAAAACAGAUCUUCCCUGUAUCCUUCACCUCGAUCCUCCACUUAUUAUUUCUGAAUCAUUUGAGAAUAAGUUGUAGACAUGAUGCCUCAUUACUCUUUAAUAUUUCGGUUUGUAUUUCUUGAGUGCAAGGAUAAAAUACAGUAAUCAAAACCAGGAAAUUAGCAUUGAUCCAACAAUAUCAUCUAAUCUAGGGACCUAAUUCAGAUCUCACCUAUUGUCUCAAUAAUGUCCCUUACAAGUCCAAGAUUCAAUCUAGGAUCAAGUGUUGCAUUCAUUUGUCCUGUCUCUUUAGUAGUCUUCAACCUGGAACCAUUUCUGUAUCUUUCAUGACCUUGAUAGUUUUGAAAAGCCCAAGCCAAUUGCCUUGAGAAUGUUCCUUAGUUAUGGAGGUUUGUCUGAUGAUUAUAACUAUGCAUUUUGGCAGGAAUAUCACAUAAGUGGUGCUAUACUAGUCUCCAGGCAUCAUAUGAGGAGGCACGUGAUAUCAAUUUGUUCCAUUAAUGGUGUUGCUAACUUUUAUGACCAAGUUAAGAUGGUAUCUGCCAGGUUCUCCAUUGUAAAGUAAUUAAUAAUUAUUUUGUGGCAAGAAUUUUUGAGAUCAUGUGAAUAUCUUGUUUCUCGCCAAUUUUAGCAUCCAUUAAUGAUCUAACUUGAAUAAAUUAUUAUUCUGAUAAUUACCAAAUGGAGAUUUUCUAAUCCUAUCAUUCCAUCUAGAUUUAUUAGAUAGGAUAGAAUUUUCCUUUCUCCCUAAUUAAUUAAUUAAUUAAUACCAGUAUGGACUCAGGAUUUCUUUCUUUUUUUUUUGAGGAAGAUUAGCUCUGAACUAACAUCUGCCACCAAUUCUCCUCUUUUUGCUGAGGCAGACUGGCCCUGAGCUAACAUCCGGGCCCAUCUUCGUCUAUUUUAUAUGUGGGACGCCUACCACAGCAUGGCUUGCCAAGCAGUGCCAUGUCCGCACCUGGGAUCUGAACCGGUAAACCCUGGGCUGCCAAAGCGGAACGUGUGCUCUUAACCACUGCACCACUGGGCUGGCCUGGGAUUUCUCUUUUACUCAUAAGGUUACAAUCUGUUAUUAUUAUUGUUUAUUUUGAUACUCAAAUUGUCCCAGACUUGGCCAGUGGGUGCCCCUUCAAGCUGGUUACUGUGUCUUAUAGAUAUGUUCCCAUCAUUCUUUGAGCACUUCUUUGCUUUCCACUUUCUGGUGUCAUAAAAUGUUACAAACACAUCUUGUAUUUUCCCUGCUCCAGUCGUGGAGCAACCAUUUCGUCAAGGGGUCCUGGUUCUUUUUAGUGGAUAGUGGUAUCUAGAAACCAAGAUCUAAGCGUGCUCAUUGUUAUUGGAAUGCCGUUGCUUCUAGACCCUCUCAGUGAACAGAAGUAGAACAUACACACAGAGCUGUAUUUAUCUGUCUAUCUAUCUAAUCAGACUGUGAUACUGACAUUUCCAAUUCCUAUGCAACACUCCAGGGUAUAUUCUAGACUUCCCAGUUUCCACGGUUGUAACUCCUUUUUGUGACAGUGAGAAAUCUGUAUUUACUUGCUUAACCCCAGGCAUGCCAACCUCCAC